GAUCCAGGAGGCGCAGGCUCAGGACCGCAGCACCUGCCGCGCCCCCCGCGGCCGGAAUGUGCAUUAAAGAAAAAUUGUCAACUAUGCAUAGAAGAUAGAAAAUGUUUUUGGUGCAGUGGAGAAAACACUUGCAAAAAGUUUUGUUUUUCAUAUUUGGGGUGUCAAUUAAGUUCGGCAUUUUGGUUAAGCUGUAACGUUGACAUGUUCGGAUUCCUGAUGCUUCUGCUCAUCGCAAUAAUAAUUAUAGCAUUCAUUUGGCAUUGCUGCAUCUUUCAUUAUUACCUGCAGGAGUAUGUUCAUUGUGUCCUUAGUAAGAAUGUACUUUGGGAUAAUAUCAUUGAAGAAAAUGCUAAGCUAGUUAUCAGAAAUUUUCUACCUUUUCAAUGUAAUAAAAAUAAUAUAUCCAUAUGAUAAGGGAAAAAGUUCAAAAAGUACAGAAUAUUAUAAAAUGAAACAUUUAACUUUCCCACCCUCUACUCCACCUCUGAUACCUACUCACCAGAAGUAAUCUUUUUAGUAUGAUUUUAUUUGUGGUUCUUCUUUCGGUUACCUCAAUAUAUUUGAACAAUAUGGUUAUAUCUCCUUUUCAUGAUUUAUUAAUUUUAGAUGUUAUCUUUUGACCCCUUAUCAUGAAAGCUGAAAAACUUAUCUUGCACUAUCUAUAUUUUUUGUUAUUUUGCUGUUAUCAUUUUAUUUUUGAAUAGUAAUUAUUAGCUCUUAAGAUUAGUAAUAUUUCUUCUGUUGGUUAUCUUUUUUACUUUGAGUAUAAAAUAUAUUUCUUUUUAUAAUCUCAGUUGCUGUGUUUAGAUUCCUGAUGCUUCUGCUCAUUGCAAUAGUAAUUAUAGCAUUCAUAAUGUCUGUUUCCAUAUUGCUCCCAUUAUUUAAGAUAAGAAAAUUUGGAACCCUAUACAUCUUUCUAUUUAUCAUCUCCUCCUCUAUCUUCUAAACUCUGUAAACUUUCUCACUCAUUUGACCUUUUCAAGUGUAUAUUUACAUUCUAUUCUGUAACUAUGUUUAUACCACGAAAUGCUUACUCUAUAGUUUGAAUCUAAAAUUUUUAAGUGAAUAAAAAGAAUAGAACAUAUUAUGAUUGUAUAAAUAUUGUUUGUAAAGAACCAAAAUGGAAAUAGGAAAUGUAAUUCUGUCGCUAACCCAGAAUG